rnacentral:tRNA from 1 species
CACUCUGAAGCUAAACCGGGUAUAGCGUUAGCCUUUUAAGCUAAAAAAUGGUGACCCCCAACCACCCAGAGUGA